rnacentral:rRNA from 1 species
GACGGAGGGUGCAAACGUUGCUCGGAAUCACUGGGCAUAAAGCGCACGUAGGCGGCCAACUAAGUCGGGUGUGAAAGCCCCCGGCUCAACCGGGGAAUGGCUCCCGAUACUGGUUGGCUCGAGGACGGUGGGGGUGAGUGGAACUCCAGGUGGAGCGGUGAAAUGCGUAGAUAUCUGGAGGAACACCGGUGGCGAAAGCGGCUCACUGGACCGUCUCUGACGCUGAGGUGCGAAAGCCAGGGUAGCGAACGGG